GACCCCGCCCCUGGGCUUCCUCACUUCCUGGUGUGAGCUGUGUGAGCCGUGCGAGCUGUGUUUGCCUGCUGGGCUGCGUCUGGGAUCAUUUCCCCCUGAAUCUGGGUGUCAACUUGCUGCUAGAGGAGUGGCUGUUGUGAAGCCACAGACUCCCCACCUCUCCUACUGGGUGAUCAGUUUGGAUGCUUUUGGCCAGGAGCGGCCAGUUAAGCUGCAGUGGAACCUCCCAGCUGUUUUGUCCUUCCGGGUUGCUGCCACGACCAGCGUUGGC